UGAGGUCAUCGCCCUCCGCCUUCGGGAGCCGACCGACCCUCGUCGUCAGGGGCGGGGCCUGCGGCAGCGCUCCAGGCUCCUUCUGCCCCGCCCCACCCGCGCCUCCCCGAGGACCGUCCAGCGCGUCACGUGACGGGUCGGCGGCGCUGGCGGUUGCUGUCAGCUGAUUCCGUGGCUUGGUGGCAGCGGCAGCCGCGGCAAUGGACUUUCUCCUGGGGAACCCGUUCAGCUCUCCGGUGGGACAGCGCAUCGAGAAAGCUACAGAUGGCUCCCUGCAGAGCGAGGACUGGGCGCUCAACAUGGAGAUUUGCGACAUCAUCAACGAGACCGAGGAGGGCCCCAAGGAUGCCUUCCGAGCAGUGAAGAAGAGAAUCGUGGGGAAUAAGAACUUCCACGAGGUGAUGUUGGCCCUCACGGUCUUGGAAACCUGCGUCAAGAACUGCGGGCACCGCUUCCAUGUGCUCGUGGCCAGCCAGGACUUCGUGGAGGGCGUGCUGGUGAGGACCAUCCUGCCCAAGAACAACCCGCCCACCAUCGUGCACGACAAGGUGCUCAACCUCAUCCAGUCCUGGGCUGACGCGUUCCGCAGCUCGCCUGACUUGACAGGUGUGGUGGCCGUCUAUGAGGACCUGCGCAGGAAGGGCCUGGAGUUCCCCAUGACCGACCUGGACAUGCUGUCACCCAUCCACACACCCCAGAGGACCGUGUUCAACUCAGAGACACCAUCAGGACAGAAUUCUGCGGGCACCGACGCCAGUCAUCGAGGGGACUCCAGCCAGCACACCGUCCCUCUGCCCACCUCAGCCCUGCUCCCCAGCGACACACCCAUAGCGCCCACCCCUGAGCAGAUCGGGAAGCUGCGCAGCGAGCUGGAGAUGGUGAACGGGAACGUCAGGGUGAUGUCGGAGAUGCUGACGGAGCUGGUCCCCAACCAGGCAGAGCCUGCGGACCUGGAGCUGCUACAGGAGCUCAACCGGACAUGCCGGGCCAUGCAGCAGCGGGUCCUAGAGCUCAUCCCGCGCAUCGCCAACGAGCAGCUGACCGAGGAGCUGCUCAUCGUCAACGACAAUCUCAACAACGUGUUCCUGCGCCAUGAACGGUUUGAACGGUUCCGCACAGGCCAGAGCACCAAGGCCCCAGGCGAGGCCGAGCCCGAGGCAGCAGCUGACCUGAUCGACAUGGGCCCCGACCCAGCGGCCAAUGGCAGCCUCUCGUCCCAGCUGGCGGGAAUGAACCUGGGCUCCAGCAGCGUGAGGGCUGGCCUGCAGUCUCUGGAGGCCUCUGGCCGACUGGAAGACGAAUUUGACAUGUUCGCAUUGACGCGGGGCAGCUCGCUGGCAGACCAGCGCAAAGAGGUAAAAUAUGAAGCCCCCCAAGCAACAGACGGCCUGGCUGGAGCCCUGGAUGCCCGGCAGCAGAGCACUGGCGCGAUGGGAGGCGGCAGUGAGAAGAGCCUCAGUGACUGGAUGGUGAGACAAGGCAUGGUGAGAGGGGCUGGGCACCCGCGCAGGGCCACCCCGGCAGUGCUAUCCAUCAGACCCGAGGAGAGCGAGGGGCAUCAGGGCGCCCAGCCCCGCUCCCCGGCCCUUGCUUCCACAGCCGUGCAGCUCUGGCAGCUGGGAGGUGACCGGGGCUGGCCUGGAUCUGGGCUGAGUGUCCGCAUAGGGAGCUGGGCAGCGCUGGGAACUUGCUGCUGGUGCUGCUGGGGAAUCAGCUCCUGCCUCUUCUCUGGGCGCUCCUGCCGCCCGCCGGGGUCCUCGCUGCCUGCCGAGGACAGAGCUUGGGGACUGACCUGGCUUUGGUUGGAGAAGGACUCAUUCUCCCUCUGUUUCCCAAAGUAGCUAAGUGGUAACUGGCGUUUCCUGGGCAUCUAAGCUGUGCCAGGCGCUGUGCUAAGCUCUCUGCCUCCCUCAUCUCCUUUAAUCCUCACAGCAGCCUGAACGGUAGGUAGCAUCACCCGUUGCAGUGAGCGAGGCGAGGGUUCGGGGAGUUUAGCAACCUGCGCAAAGUCGCAGGCCAGCACUGGGCCAGCUUUCUGACCCCGGAGUCUGUGCCCAGAGCCUCCAGCAGGAUUCUCCCACUCAAGAUGCAUCUCGAGACCCCAGCCCUGCCCCAGUCCAACCCUCAGCCUCGGUGGCAGAACUCGUAUCUUUUUUACCCCCGGUGAAAUGUACCCGCAGAGCCGCAGCCCCCUGGACCCACCAGGCUGGUGGUCCCGGCACCUCCCUCAGCUCCAGCCCAUCUCUGCCCCUUCCCACCAUAAACUCUUGAGUCUGCAGGGGUGCAGUGGGCUCUGUAGUCGACCCCCUGCCCCAGCCUUGCCAGCUGGCCGCUCCCUGGGCCUUGAGUGUUACUGUGUCAGGGGCUCCUGAGCGCCCGCGAGGGAGCUCGGAGGCAGGUGACUGCGCGGGGCCUCAGCCGGUGGGCCCUGGGCUGGUGGGGCCUCCCUCUGGUCCAGUGCACUGUUCCCCCCCCCAGAUCCCUGUCACCCAGGCCUGCCUCAUGGAGGACAUCGAGCAGUGGCUGUCCACGGACGUGGGCAACGAUGCCGAGGAGCCCAAGGGCGUCACCAGUGAAG